GCUACAGUAACUUAUACUACUCUUUCUCGAGCACGAAGAAGACAGAAGGCGCUCGCUUUAAAUGCGUACUCACACAUUUUGCGAUUUUGCUUUUGAAUUAUGCGACCACGAGGCACUCUUACGCAACUGGGGUGAACUUGCGCGCGCGUUCAUCACAGAAGAGCAUUCGCGGCAACGCGCGCGUUGUCCUGACAACAAGGAUUCACAAACAAACGCAGUUUCUUAACGGUCGUUUAGCAAUCUUUUGUCCGUUUUGUCUCCUUAUUUCGGUCGCGAAAUGAAGAUAAAAUACGUGUUUGUUGAUAUAUUAACUGUAAAUGCCAUUCACAUAUGAACACUAACGUACCACAGUUAAAAUAAAAAGUCACGGUCAAAGGACAAAAGAGAGGGCUACGUUUUUUUGAGAAGCUGGACCAUUUUGACCUUAUCAUCUUCAGCUGUAUAAUUCAGCGAAAUCAAUGAUGUGCAGGGGUUUAAAAAGUACAGCUUGGGAAAUAUAAAGAUGAUGGUUAUUUUAAAGAAGAAGCCUGACACAUUGGAGACUUAACCAUCUUCAAAGGACAAUGCUACAAUUCAAGGAAGUCGACAGUUGUCUCAAUUAUACAGUUUUGCCUUUUUUUUUUUUGUACCAUAGUCUAAGUUUGUAUUUUGAUUGCCUAGAAGGUAUUUCUUAUUAAAGAAAAAAAAAAAAAAAAAAAAAUAUAUAUAUAUAUAUAUAUAUAUAUAUAUAUAUUUAUAUAUUAUUAAAGCAAAAUCUUUUACUAGCCACUAGUUGUACCUUCUUAGUCUACAGAUUCCUUAUAGGUACUUUGUUUUAUAGCAGUUAACAGUCUGUGACUGCAGGGUGAUUCAAAAAGAAUAACACAACUUUGAAAAUCUGUAUUUAAUCAAAGAAACAUGAUGACAACAGCUCUCCUAGCGACCUAAUGAGUAACCAAAUGAAACUUCAGAGCUUCCUUAAAUCGACGACAGAAAGAGCUUAGCUCCCCUUUUCUUCUUUGCAGAGUUUUCGAUUUUCAAAUUUGUGGGAUUCCUUUUGAAUCACCCUGUAUACAGUUUUUUCUGUUUUUAACAUCUGAUGUUUCCUGAUAGGUAAUCGUUUACAUCACUUUGGGAGAGGGAGUGAAAACGGGCAGUCAAUCAGUGUCUGAAAAGAGAAAAUACACCCAAUACAGAGGCUAGUAAGGAGCACUUCCAUUGCACAAAGUUAAUGUCUUAACAGAUUACAAGAUCAAGUCAUUAACAUGAACCAAAAGGACAAACUCGUCAAAAGCAAAACUCACUUUCCCUUGGCUUUUCUUUCCCUUUUCAUCACGGGUCAUCACAGCAGAAUGAACUAGCAAUUACUGUGGUACAUGCUUUUUUCACCAGAUGCUCUCAUAUGCAGAAUUGACCAGAGCACCCGAAGGAAACCCACGCAAACAUGGGGUGAACAUGCAAACUCCACACCUGGCACACCUGAGACUCGAACCAGUGACCUUCUUGCUUUGAGGCAACAGUGAUGACCACAGAGCUACCAUGUGGCCCCUUUUGUAUUCACAUUAUAUUAGUGACAGUUUUCCCCUCAAGGUAUUUCAGUAAAUAAUUGUUGUGAUUUUAUAUAAUUGACAAUAAAUUGUUUGUAUUUAUA